UGUGAUGGUGUAGACUAUAUUACAUGGAUUUAUUGUGAUGGUGUAGGUAGACUAUAUUACAUGGAUUCAUUGUGAUGGUGUAGACUAUAUUACAUGGAUUUAUUGUGAUGGUGUAGACUAUAUUACAUGGAUUUAUUGUGAUGGUGUAGGUAGACUAUAUUACAUGGAUUUAUUGUGAUGGUGUAGACUAUAUUACAUGGAUUUAUUGUGAUGGUGUAGACUAUAUUACAUGGAUUUAUUGUGAAGGUGUAGGUAGACUAUAUUACAUGGAUUUAUUGUGAUGGUGUAGACUAUAUUACAUGGAUUUAUUGUGAUGGUGUAGGUAGACUAUAUUACAUGGAUUUAUUGUGAUGGUGUAGACUAUAUUACAUGGAUUUAUUGUGAUGGUGUAGACUAUAUUACAUGGAUUUAUUGUGAUGGUGUAGGUAGACUAUAUUACAUGGAUUUAUUGUGAUGGUGUAGACUAUAUUACAUGGAUUUAUUGUGAUGGUGUAGACUAUAUUACAUGGAUUUAUUGUGAAGGUGUAGACUAUAUUACAUGGAUUUAUUGUGAUGGUGUAGGUAGACUAUAUUACAUGGAUUUAUUGUGAUGGUGUAGGUAGACUAUAUUACAUGGAUUUAUUGUGAUGGUGUUGGUAGACUAUAUUACAUGGAUUUAUUGUGAUGGUGUAGGUAGACUAUAUUACAUGGAUUUAUUGUGAUGGUGUAGACUAUAUUACAUGGAUUUAUUGUGAUGGUGUAGGUAGACUAUAUUACAUG